rnacentral:rRNA from 1 species
GAUCCAGCAAUGCCGCGUGAGUGAAGAAGGCCUUCGGGUUGUAAAGCUCUUUCAGUCGAGAAGAAAAGGUUGUGACUAAUAAUCAUAACUKAUGACGGUAUCGACAGAAGAAGCACCGGCUAACUACGUGCCAGCAGCCGCGGUAAUACGUAGGGUGCAAGCBUUAAUCCGAAUUACUUGGCGUAAAGGGUCCGSAAGCGGUUCUYUAAGUCRMAUCUCAAAUUCCCSGGCUUAACCUBGGGACUUGG